rnacentral:lncRNA from 1 species
CCAGCACUCUUCUUACCAGUGGAUUGGAUUGGUGACUGCAGCUUUGUCAGCAGCCGUGACUCCAUGUCCCAGGAUGCAGGGCAACCCAUCUGGGGAAGAGCCGAGGAGGCAGAGGAUGCCCUUCUAUGCAAACUACGGUGGCAGGACCAGCCUUCCACCUCCCUGGAGGUGAUCUGUGCUCUGGAUGUGCUGACUUGGAGAAGCAGGAACCUUUUUCUACAAGAGGCAGUUACCUACAUCCUGAAUUAAGGAAUCUGUUCUGAAACAACACACUCACAGAUUUAAAGCAGUAUUCUUUUUUUUUUUAACCAUAGGAGGUUUCCAGGCCAGGGACUGAAUCCGAGCUGUAGGUGUGACCUACACUGAACCUAUGGCAACAUUGCAUCCCUGCACUGGGCCAGGGAUUGAACCUGCACCUCUGAAAUAACCCAAACUGCUGUAGUCAGGUUCUGAACCCACUUUGCCACAGCGGGAAUUCCUUAAAGCAGUACUCUUCAUUGUAGAGCUCUAAUGAGGUUGUCAGCAAGGGUAAAAAGGUCAUCUUAAUGAUUUAGACCGAGUGAGUGAAUGAGGGAUCUUGUCUUGAGUUUUAUCUAUUUAAUAAGAAAUCUGUUUACUAAGAAACCAGGACCUUGACAGAGAUCCAGAAAUGAUUAUAGAAUUCUCAGCUUGGGGCUGCCAGUAUCCUCAAUGAGUAGCAGCUAAUGCUCCCAAGAUGCCCGUGGCCAUAACGCCACUUUUUUUAAAGCAUGAAAACCUUUCCUUUCAGUUUGACCAAUGCCUAUUGCACGUUUUAAAAAUAUACUUUCAUAAACAUAAUUCUGGAAAAGCUAGAGUGAUGGACAUGAAGGUCUGAGUAAAAUAAAUUAGGUGUCAUAUAUUACUCUGUUAACACAGAGUAAGAAUUUUUUCUUGCACUGCAUCUUUUUGAAGGAUCACAAAUUUCUGUGCUGCUGUCACUACAGAGCCACUAUGCAAGCUUUCUGAGAAAUUAUAAAGGACACACAAAAAGCCUUUGAAGAUGAAAGAAGGGAAAUGCUGUCCCUAUCACAGGAAAUUAGAGACUGCUGGAAUUAUAAGGGUACCAGAGCAAAUGAUCAAACAAGCCAUUAUAAUACUGUAUAGGUAGCAGUGAACAUAGCUUUUAGGAGAACAUCUUAUUAACUAGGAUUACGUAGGGGUUUUUUUUUUAAUGACAUGAGCAAAGCAGUUUUAAUACCAAUAAGAUUUCUGCGUCCACUUGGUUGAGCAAACAACACAGAACCGUGGAUCUAGCUUGUCCUUUCUGUGGACUCCCCAUGACACUCUGAAUAUAUCACUCAUCCUUUUAUGUCUUGGAUUCUCUUCCAGUAAAAGCAAAUAAUACUUCCUAUUUGUCAAUAUCCCCUGGAGUGCCCUUGAGAUGUUUAGGACUGGGAUCCAAAUCCUAAGGAUAUUUGUAACCCUAAUAGAUGCUGACAGGGUGGCUUCCUGGCUCACAGCACCCCCAAAUCAGCCCCCCCCUUUUUUUGUCUUUUUGCCUUUUCUAGGGCCACUUCCCAUAGCAUAUGGAGGUUUCCAGGCUAGGGGUCAAAUCUGAGCUGUAGCCACCGGCCCACACCACAGCCACAACAACACGGGAUCUAAGCUGCGUCUGCGACCUACACCACAGCUCAGGGCAAUGCUGGAUCCUUAACCCACUGAGCGAGGCCAGGGAUUGAACCCUCAUCCUCAUGGUUCCUAGUCGGAUUCAUUAACCACUGCGCCACGACGGGAACUCCCAAAUCAACCCCUUUGAUGCAGAAAGUUUGUGAUAGAAAAUGGUCCUAUCUGGACUGCAGGAGCCUAGUCCCUUUGCCCACAGCUGAUUAGUACAGGGAUAGUCCCUUCAUUCCAACUGGGCUAAUCAAAUUCUUCUCCCAGGACACCAAGUGGAAAGACAGAAAGGCACUCAAAGAUUGGAAAUUGUCAAUCUAGAGUCGUGAGAUACUUUUAAUUAAAGUUGUGAAAUAACAGAAGUUCCCAUGUGGCUCAGCCAGUUAAGGACCUGGCAUUGGCAGUGCUGUGGAUUGGGUCUCUGCUGUGGCCUGGGUCUCUGCUGUGGCCUGGAUUUGAUCUCUAGCCCGGAAACUUCUGCGUGCCUCAGGCACAGCCAUAGAUAAAUUAAACUGUGAAAUAAUAAAAUAGAUAACAAGGCAAUAUUCUCAGCCCCUCCCCUCACACAUUGGCGUGGCUCCCUCCCAGAGCCUAUAGUCAUCCCAGCUGGGGCCUGCUGUGCAGGACAGGAACCCAUCCCUCAUCCUUUGGGGAUGCUCCAUUCUACAGCCUUCCAUCCCACAUAGGGUCAACGAGACACUGCCAAGACUCCUGCCUAUGCAGUAACCCAGGAGCCCCACGGCUGGGCCCUGGUUCCAGUAGGUGGCCUGGUGUGGUAGUUCCUCUUGCUGUCUGGCAUAGCCUCUCUUUUGUGGAAUUGUAGGAGAUAGGGCUGCCAGGAUGGCGCUGACAGACCGAUUUGGGAGCCCUACACACCCUAUUGGUCCCUGUCAGAGAGCAUUACUAGCAGUAAACUUAUAUAAAUAUAGUUUAUAUAAAUCAUAUAAAAGAAUAUAAUUUAUGUUAUAUAAAUAUAUAAAUAUCAUUUAUACAAAUGUCAUUAUUUAAAUAAAUACAUUUAUAUAUGUAAUAAUUCC